ensembl:antisense
AAUCUCAAGGAAGCUCUUUGGAAGCCAGGAUUCCCAGCACUUAGCUGGUGGGCAAAGGGGCUCAACCCCUUCCCCACAUCCCACCUUCCCUCCUCCCAGUCUUCGGGAUUGCGGAGCUCCUGCCGGGAUCCAAGAGCAGGCUCUUGGAGGUCGAAGAAGGAUAUAACCUCCAGACCUGGAAUUUAAGACGCAAGAACCAGCCAGCAAAAGUGGCAGCCGAGCAUGCGAAUGAAGAUGUAGAAGUCUCAGCUCCUUCAAUGCUAUGUCUGCCAAGAUGCUGCCACACUCCCUUCUUGAUGAUAAUGGACUGAACCUCUGAACCUGGACGAGAAACUACAGCAUUACUUCUGCAGAUUCACAAAGGAGUCCACGUUCCAAGAUGAGAGAAAUACCAGAAGCCGAUGGCUAUUCUACUUGACUGAAUGAAAAGAAAAGGAAGGCACUUCCUGUCAAUCCUGCUUUGGAUUCCUAGACAGUUUAAGAAGCACCAUUGAUCUGAUCAUUGGCACUGAGGAGGAAAUGCCCAUCCGCAGAAGACAUGCAGGGCUCAACCCAGCUUGACAUGGGCAAAUGAAAAUUGGAUGGAGUUAUGGCGGGACACUCUUACUGGACACUGAAACCAUCCUGCAGCAAAUUGCUUCUGUGAAAUCUUUCUGCUGUUUGGGAGGUAUCCUUCUAUAGCACAGAAACGGAAACUUCAGCCAGAAGAGAGGAAUUCAGUGACUCCAUGCCAACAGAAACAGAGCUCUGCAUUUGUUUCCUGAGCCUACUUGCACUUGGAAGGUUUCUUUCCUCACAAGAAACAUGUGUUACAGGAUAUAAAAGUGGCUUUCCGUUUGGGGUUAGAACCCGAAACAGAAAGACAACAGAGAAAAAUUUCAGCUCAGCCUUUCUAGAUUGGAAAUGAUGCAUGAAUGUUGUUGUUUCUCCAAGACUUCAGCACAGGUAUAACAUGGUGCUAAUUUAAUCACCCGGUGAAUCACCUUUUCUCUGUGAGAUGUUAACACUGAUGUAAGAUGUUUCCAUGUGAGGAACGGGAAAGACUUGAGACACAAAAAAGCUUCAAGGAUUGGUAAAUAGAAUAAUGUGGUCUGUACCCCACUAAUUUUUCUUGCCAUCCAUGAGAGGCCCGAUGGGCUGCAGCAAUGCAUCAUUUAGAUCGCCCCUUCAGCUGGUUCAUGGAAAACUAACAAAAAUUGAUGUUGUUAUCUGGGGUUUUCGUGUGUGAUUUGUCUAACUCUUUACAUUCAUUAUGGGUUUUGCCCUUCUUUAAUAAAAUGGCCUGAUAUUGCCU